rnacentral:rRNA from 1 species
UACGUAGGUGGCAAGCGUUAUCCGGAAUGAUUGGGCGUAAAGGGUGCGCAGGCGGAACCAUAAGUCUGAAGUAAAAGCCAUCGGCUCAACCGAUGUAAGCUUUGGAAACUGUGGAUCUGGAGUGCAGGAGAGGACAGUGGAAUUCCAUGUGUAGCGGUAAAAUGCGUAGAUAUAUGGAGGAACACCAGUGGCGAAGGCGGCCUGCUGGACUGAAACUGACGUUGAGGCUCGAAAGCGUGGGGAGCAAACAGG